CACACACAAAAUAGUGUAAUGAAUUCUACAAUACAUUGUGACAGGAGUAUGAGAAGGUGUGUGUGUGUGUGUGUGUGUGUGUGUGUGUGUAUAUACGCUCACAUGGUACUGAACCACUCCGUAUUUAGAAUAGUGUUAAUGAAGCCGAAUAUUUCCUACUAUAAAGCCGAUAAUACAGACUAUAUAGACAAUAACAAAUGAUAUGGUGCAAUAAUAUGGCUAUUUUUCAGUCUUUAUCAAGUCUGUGCUCAGUUCAGACUGCAAGUGUGCUACGAUCCCCACUGUGAAUAUAGUGGCAUGAAUGUGCAGUGUUUCCACUUAAUCAUAAAGCGCAGCAGGUCAUGAAGAAUCCAGAGUAUAAAUGUAAAAAAAACAUAAACCUUAUUAAAAUAAAGUUGGAUUUUACCAGUGGCACAUUUAGUCUGCAACUACAUGGUCUGUUUUAGAAG